UACGUAGGGCGCAAGCGUUGUCCGGAAUUAUUGGGCGUAAAGAGCUCGUAGGCGGUUUGUCGCGUCUGUCGUGAAAGCUUGGGGCUUAACCCCAAGUCUGCGGUGGAUACGGGCAGACUAGAGGCAGGUAGGGGAGAACGGAAUUCCCGGUGUAGCGGUGAAAUGCGCAGAUAUCGGAAGGAACACCAGUGGCGAAAGCGGCUUCCUGGUCCAGCACCGACGUUCAGGCACGAAAGCGUGGGGAGCAAACAGG
rnacentral:rRNA from 1 species